GGGCGAUUAGCUCAGUUGGCUAGAGCGCCUGCCUUACACGCAGGAAGUCACUGGUUCAAAUCCAGUAUCGCCCACCA
rnacentral:tRNA from 1 species